UACGUAGGGUGCAAGCGUUGUCCGGAAUUAUUGGGCGUAAAGAGCUCGUAGGCGGUUUGUUGCGUCGGCUGUGAAAUCCCGAGGCUCAACCUCGGGUCUGCAGUCGAUACGAGCAAACUAGAGUGUUGCAGGGGAGACUGGAAUUCCUGGUGUAGCGGUGAAAUGCGCAGAUAUCAGGAGGAACACCGGUGGCGAAGGCGGGUCACUGGGCCGAUACUGACGCUGGAGGAGCGAAAGCGUGGGGAGCAAACAGG
rnacentral:rRNA from 1 species